AUUUGGUUUUGGAAUCUAAAGUUGGGGAGAGUAAAAUGAGAAGUGAUUAGAAACUUGGAAAAGUGAGUUUCUUAUGAAAGGGUGAAAAUUUGAAAAGAAACAAGAAAAAGAAAUCACCCUUGAAACCAUAGAGCAUAAAAAAAAAGAUUAGAAAAAGAAAAGCAAAGAAAAUGCUCAUGGUUGUGUGGAUUUGAAAAGAAAAAGAAAAAGAAAAAGAUAGGGAUCAAAGAAAGGGAAAUUGUGUAGAGUUGAAUAUUUGGGAAUGCUCCCUUAGGAUAGGCAAUUUGGUUGAAUUCUCUUAAUCAUAUUCUUUCUUGUAACCUAAGCCACAUUACAACCUUUGAAAGACCUCUUGAUUCUCAUUUUUCACAUGAUUUGGUAUUUGUUGUGAUAACCG
rnacentral:lncRNA from 1 species